rnacentral:rRNA from 1 species
CCUACGGGGCGCUGCAGUGAGGAAUAUUGGUCAAUGGACGAGAGUCUGAACCAGCCAAGUAGCGUGAAGGAUGACUGCCCUAUGGGUUGUAAACUUCUUUUAUAAAGGAAUAAAACGAGGCACGUGUGCCUUUUUGCAUGUACUUUAUGAAUAAUGAUCGGCUAACUCCGUGCCAGCAGCCGCGGUAAUACGGAGGAUCCGAGCGUUAUCCGGAUGUAUUGGGUUUAAAGGGAGCGUAGAUGGGUUGUUAAGUCAGUUGUGAAAGUUUGCGGCUCAACCGUAAAAUUGCAAUUGAUACUGGCAGUCUUGAGUACAGUUGAGGUAAGCGGAAUUCGUGGUGUAGCGGUGAAAUGCUUAGAUAUCACGAAGAACCCCGAUUGCGAAGGCAGCUUACUAAACUGUGACUGACAUUGAUGCUCGAAAGUGUGGGUAUCAAACAGGAUUAGAUACCCCAGUAGUC